rnacentral:misc_RNA from 1 species
GAUGAAGAACGUAGCGAAAUGCGAUAAUUAAUGUGAAUUGCAGAAUUCCGUGAAUCAUCGAGUCUUUGAACGCACAUUGCGCCUCAUGGCAUUCCGUGAGGCAGGCCCAUCUCAGCGUUAGAAAAUAUUCUCAAAUUUUAGUUUUGUGCUAAAAUUUGGAUCAUGUCAAAGAAGCUAUUACUAUUAUUGUGAUCGCUCUUUGGAAAUUGAUAGGUCUUUGAGUUGCUACUCAUAGAACGUGAUGAAUCUUUCUUCGUUCUAUUGUAAUUCACUCUGGUAGUCCUAAAACUUGUAUGCCUGUGGCAUAUCUUGUAAUUUGACCUGAGAUUGGGUAGGGAUACCCGCUGAACUUAAGCAUAUCAAUAAGCGGAGG